rnacentral:misc_RNA from 1 species
GUGAGCUUCACGCGCGAGACCAAGAACCACUGUAUUAAUGAGAAGACGAUGCCAACAACCGCGCACACCGGCACCAGUAUCUCCGUCCCCAACUCCGACAGCACCGCCGAUCCCAUCCUCCUCGCCUGAACCCUACAACAAUUCUCCGGUGUCAGAACGCCGAAAAAUGAUUCCAGAAAGAGAAAAGCCUGAGUGCAGGAGAGUGUAAAAGAGAACGAAGCUCCUCGGUGUGAUUCUAGUGAUUCAUUUUUAUCGGAAGAGCAUAGCAUUCGGGGAAAGUGAGGAAUAAUACUCCGCAAUUCGGCCUAUUUUAUCUAGUUGCAUCAUAGGCCGUCAGAUCUUUUCCAGAUAUAAUGAUUCUGGGAACGGGGAUGCUUAAUGGUGAUUGAUGAAGACUAAUGUCGCAAGAUUAUUGGACAGUUGGAUAUGCGGGGAAUAAAAUGGAGGAAAUAUUUUAUAUCCACGAUAAUGAGCUAAAUACUUUUGUAUGAUGAACGGUCACUGAUCUAGGUGUAGCUUAAGAUCCCAUGGGGUCAAUUCAUGAUGGAACACUAGGGCUUAGAUAACUUUAGCGCGUAUUGUCGACGCAUCAAUGUCGGAAUCCCCUUCAUUUUGACUCGAUAGUUUCACUUUGUUUUGCACAUUGCCGAAGGUACUAUUUCGUGCUUAAGCAACCGUGAGAGAUGAUGUACAUCAAAAAAAUCUAGACCGUAGAAAUGGUGAUCGUACUGAUUGGCUACGAUGGACGAAGUUUACGACGUCGCAGAGAAAGCGAGGAGCACCAGAUACACUGUACAUGGAGGCAGGGGAAAAUAGGUGAGGAUAUUGUUGGAACGGCAUUUCAGUG